rnacentral:rRNA from 1 species
AGUGAACGCUGGCGGUAGGCCUAACACAUGCAAGUCGAACGGCAGCACAGUAAGAGCUUGCUCUUACGGGUGGCGAGUGGCGGACGGGUGAGGAAUACAUCGGAAUCUACUUUUUCGUGGGGGAUAACGUAGGGAAACUUACGCUAAUACCGCAUACGACCUACGGGUGAAAGCAGGGGAUCUUCGGACCUUGCGCGAUUGAAUGAGCCGAUGUCGGAUUAGCUAGUUGGCGGGGUAAAGGCCCACCAAGGCGUCGAUCCGUAGCUGGUCUGAGAGGAUGAUCAGCCACACUGGAACUGAGACACGGUCCAGACUCCUACGGGAGGCAGCAGUGGGGAAUAUUGGACAAUGGGCGCAAGCCUGAUCCAGCCAUACCGCGUGGGUGAAGAAGGCCUUCGGGUUGUAAAGCCCUUUUGUUGGGAAAGAGAAGCAGCAGGUUAAUACCCCGCUGUUCUGACGGUACCCAAAGAAUAAGCACCGGCUAACUUCGUG